rnacentral:rRNA from 1 species
AGAGUUUGAUCCUGGCUCAGAUUGAACGCUGGCGGUAUGCUUAAGACAUGCAAGUCGUGCGGUAGAAGGCUUCGGCCUUUGAGAGCGGCGGACGGGUGAGUAACACGUGGGAAUCUACCUAUUAGUGGGGGACAGCCCAGCGAAAGCUGGAUUAAUACCGCAUACGCCCUACGGGGGAAAGCAGCAAUGCGCUAAUAGAUGAGCCCGCGUAAGAUUAGCUAGUUGGUAAGGUAAAGGCUUACCAAGGCGACGAUCUUUAGCUGGUCUGAGAGGAUGGCCAGCCACAUCGGGACUGAGACACGGCCCGGACUCCUACGGGAGGCAGCAGUCGGGAAUAUUGGACAAUGGGCGCAAGCCUGAUCCAGCAAUACCGCGUGUGUGAAGAAGGCCUGCGGGUUGUAAAGCACUUUCAGUUGGGAAGAUAAUGACGUUACCAACAGAAGAAGCACCGGCUAACUCCGUGCCAGCAGCCGCGGUAAUACGGAGGGUGCAAGCGUUAAUCGGAAUUACUGGGCGUAAAGCGUGCGUAGGCGGCCUGUUAAGUCAGAUGUGAAAGCCCCGGGCUUAACCUGGGAACUGCAUCUGAUACUGGGAGGCUAGAAUGUGGGAGAGGAGAGUGGAAUUUCCGGUGUAGCGGUGAAAUGCAUAGAGAUCGGAAGGAACACCAGUGGCGAAGGCGGCUCUCUGGACCAACAUUGACGCUGAGGCACGAAAGCGUGGGUAGCAAACAGGAUUAGAUACCCUGGUAGUCCACGCCGUAAACACUGGAUACUAGGUGUUGGAGGGUCUCGACCCCUUCAGUGCCGUCGCUAACGCUUUAAGUAUCCCGCCUGGGAAGUACGGUCGCAAGAUUAAAACUCAAAGGAAUAGACGGGGACCCACACAAGCAGUGGAGCAUCUGGCUUAAUUCGAUAGUAAGCGAGGAACCUUACCUGGACUUGACAUCCCGAGAAUUUUCUAGAAAUAGAGAAGUGCCUUACGGAACUCGGUGACAGGUGCUGCAUGGUUGUCGUCAGCUCGUGCCUUGAGGUGUUCGGUUAAGUCCGUAAACGAGCGCAACCCAUGUCAUGUGUUGUAUUUUCACAUGAGACUGCCGAUUCAAAGUCGGAGGAAGGUAUGGAUGACGUCAAAUCAGCAUGGCCCUUAUGUCCAGGGCUGCACAGGUGCUACAAUGGUCGGUACAACGGGGAGCAAUAUCGUAAGAUGGAGCCAAUCCUAAAAGCCGAUCUAAGUUCGGAUUGAGGGCUGCAACCUGCCCUCAUGAAGUUGGAAUUGCUAGUAAACGUGCAUCAGCAAUGGCGCGUUGAAUAUGUUCCUGGGUCUUGUACUCACCGCCCGUCACACUAUGGAAGGUGGGAGCAUCCGAAGUACUCUUAGCUUUUAGCGGGGUCCUAAGGUGAAACCACUGACUGGAGUGAAGUCGUAACAAGGUAACCAAGGGCGAA